GGUUAGGAGUUUUAAAAAAAAGAAUGCAAUGUCACUCCUUAAGAAUGCCAGAGAUUUGGUUUUGGUCAUUUUGUUUUCUUGAGAUAAGUUUCAGCCCAGACUGGUUUUGGGCUGGUGCUGUAACCAAGGAUGACCUUGAAUUUCUAAUCCUGACUCCACAUCCCAAGGGCUGGGAUUACAGGAAUGUGCCAUAAUGCUAUUUAUGCUGUGUUGGAGAAAAAAAACCCUGGCUUUCUCAUACUAGGCAAGCACCCUACCCACUGCUACACCUGCUGCCCUGAUGGUUUUUGAAACUUAGUAACUGAGUAGAGAUGCACAUACCUCAAGCACAGGGAAGGGACCUUCUGUGACUCUUCAAAUGCUGUGCUGCAUUUUAAAAAACAAGAGCCUGGCAUGCUGGUGCACACUUUUAAUCAGAGCACUGGGAGGCAGGAGCAAGCGGAUCUCUGAGUUCAAGGCCAGCCUGAUCAACAAGGUGAAUUUCAGGACAGCCAGGGAUCUGUAGAGACCCUGCCUUAAAAACAACUUUUAAGAGAAUUCCAGAUUGUAAUACUUACUUCAGGUUGUUGAGUAGGGAUAGGUGGGUAGGUGGAGCCCCUAAGCUUUUAUUUUUUUUUCUUUUUCUUUUUUUUUUUUGUUUUUUUGUUUUGUUUUUUGUUUUUUCAAGGGUUUCUCUGUAUAGCCUUGGCUGUACUGAAACUCACUCUGUAGACCAGGCUAUCCUUGAACUCAGAAAUCCUCCUGCCUCUGCCUCUGCCUCCCAAGUGCUGGGAUCAAAGGCAUGCGCCACCAUGCCCGGCUUGCCCCUGAUUUCUAAAGUGAGCUCUGCUCUGAUCACUUAAUGUCCUGUUAGAAUGUGGGUGCUGAAACCCAUUUUCCCACUAGCUUGUAGCUGUGGGUUUUGUCAACGAUGCCAUGUUUUUAUGUCCAUUGGGUCUAAAGGCUAUUUCUUGUCUCUUGAAUAAAAGAGGUAGUAGUAAGCCAUAAAAUGAUGUAAAACCCUAAAUGGCUUCUGCAGUGAUUCAGGGUUGUUAAGACUCCUCAGCUUCAUUAACUCAUCAGGCCAGCAGUUUCUCUGUCUUUUUCUAGCUCUCCAUGCAUAGAAAGAUCGCAGAGGUCACCACUGCAGCCUUCCACUUUCCCAUGUUAGGGUUUGUUGAUUUAAAUCAACAAUGAAGACCAAGCGGGUCUUGAACUCACAGAGGUCAUCCUGCCUCUGCCUCCUGAGUGCUGGGAUUAAAUUAUGCUCCACUAUGCCUUGCUAAGUUAGAGUUUUCUACAUAACCAUAACUGGAUGUCCCAGCCAAACAAAUGUACUCAUUUCUCUUAAGCUCACUGGACUUGGAUUUGAUGAAAUUGUGUGGCUGCGAUGCCGAUUUGGUGCCACUUGGAAUUUAAUAGAUAAACCGUGCAUAAGGCCUCGAGGUGUAAGAAGGCUAACAUGUUUCCCCACAUAAUAAAUGGCUGUAUCUUUAU
rnacentral:lncRNA from 1 species